rnacentral:rRNA from 1 species
GAUGAAAUCUUGACAGAACCCUUCGGGGCGAAGAUAAGAUGGAUUAGCGGCGGACGGGUGAGUAACACGUGAGUAACCUGCCUUAGACAUUGGGAUAGCCUCGGGAAACCGGGAUUAAUACCAAAUGAAAUCACAUAUGCACAUGCAUAAAUGAUCAAAGCUCCGGCGGUCUAAGAUGGACUCGCGUCCCAUUAGCUAGUUGGUGAGGUAACGGCCCACCAAGGCGACGAUGGGUAGCCGGCCUGAGAGGGUGAACGGCCACAUUGGAACUGAGAAACGGUCCAAACUCCUACGGGAGGCAGCAGUGGGGAAUAUUGCACAAUGGAGGGAACUCUGAUGCAGCGACGCCGCGUGAACGAAGAAGGCUUUCGAGUCGUAAAGUUCUUUUAUAUGGGAAGAUAAUGACGGUACCAUAAGAAAAAGCCCCGGCUAACUACGUGCCAGCAGCCGCGGUAAUACGUAGGGGGCUAGCGUUGUCCGGAAUCACUGGGCGUAAAGGGUUCGCAGGCGGAAAUGCAAGUCAGGUGUAAAAGGCAGUAGCUUAACUACUGUAAGCAUUUGAAACUGCAUAUCUUGAGAAGAGUAGAGGUAAGUGGAAUUUUUAGUGUAGCGGUGAAAUGCGUAGAUAUUAAAAGGAAUACCGGUGGCGAAGGCGACUUACUGGGCUCAUUCUGACGCUGAGGAACGAAAGCGUGGGUAGCAAACAGGAUUAGAUACCCUGGUAGUCCACGCUGUAAACGAUGAGUGCUAGGUAUCGGAAUAAUUCGGUGCCGCAGUUAACACAUUAAGCACUCCGCCUGGGGAGUACGUGCGCAAGCAUG